GCGAGCACAGAGAUGCAAGGGAGGAAAGGAGAGUGUGCCUUGCUUCUGAUGAAGAAAAGUUGACCAGUCAUGUGAGAUCUCGAAGUGGAGUGUAAAUCUCCUACAAUCAGGUGGUCAGUAUCCCUUGUCAAAGAGCAACUGGAGAGUGUGUCCAUGGAGAAGCAGUAACGAGAGACUGCCCAGGAGAAUGAUGAAAGAGGUUCAUAGGAUUGUAUCUGUACAUGUUCAGGAGACAGCCAUUUCCGACUGGAAGAGUAACAGUUGCUACUACAAAGAUGCCUACUACCAUUAUCCAUCUUUCUCACUGAGAAGGUGUGCCAGGCUUCCUCUAUGCAACGAGUCAAAACAACAGGCAGAAAGAACCAGACCUCCAUCCUGGACAUUUCAAUCUAAGAUUAAGGCAGUUAUGAGAACAGAUGUGAUUCCAGAGAAGGUGCACAAAGAACACAUCGGAUCCCCCGGAACUAGAUGCACAGAUGGUUGUAAGUU
rnacentral:sRNA from 1 species